UACGUAGGGGGCUAGCGUUGUCCGGAAUCAUUGGGCGUAAAGCGCGUGUAGGCGGUUCGGUAAGUCCGCUGUGAAAGUCGGGGGCUCAACCCUCGGAUGCCGGUGGAUACUGUCGGACUAGAGUACGGAAGAGGCGAGUGGAAUUCCUGGUGUAGCGGUGAAAUGCGUAGAUAUCAAGAGGAACACCUGAGGUGAAGACGGGUUGCUGGGCUGACACUGACGCUGAGGCGCGAAAGCCAGGGGAGCAAACGGG
rnacentral:rRNA from 1 species